AUUGAACGCUGGCGGCAGGCUUAACACAUGCAAGUCGAGCGAGCGGCGGACGGGUGAGUAAUGUCUGGGAAACUGCCUGAUGGAGGGGGAUAACUACUGGAAACGGUAGCUAAUACCGCAUACCAUCAGAUGUGCCCAGAUGGGAUUAGUUAGUAGGUGGGGUAAUGGCGCACCUAGGCGACGAUCCCUAGCUGGUCUGAGAGGAUGACAGGCCAAACUGGAACUGGUAAACGGUCCAACCUCCUACGGGAGGCAGCAUUGGGGAAUAUUGCACAAGGGGCGAAAGCCUGAUGCAGCAAGGCGGCGUGUGUGAAGAAGGCCUUCGGGUUGUAAAGCACUUUCAGCGAGGAGGCGUUACUCGAAGAGGAAGCACCGGCUAACUCCGUGCCAGCAGCCGCGGUAAUAC
rnacentral:rRNA from 1 species